CAAACAGGCUGGGUUUGGUGGUGCACGCCUGCAAUCUUAGCGACUCAGGAGACCAAGCAGGAGGAUCGCUUGAGGACAUGAGUUCGAAGCUGCAGUGAGCUAUGGUCAUGCCACUGCACUCUAGCCUGGGUGACAGAGCAAGAUGCUGUCUCUAAAUAACAAUAAUAGUAGUAGUAAAAAGCAUUUUCUAUUAGUGUUCUAAGCACUUUACGUGUCUUAAUUCAAUCAACUCUACAAGUUUGCGAAGGAAUAAAUUCUGAUAUUAUCCUCCAGUUAGGGGCUGAUUUAUGUCCCCCUCCAAAUUCAUGUAUUGGAGUCCUGACCCCAGUCCCUCAGAAUGUGACUGUAUUGGAAGAUAGGGUCUUUGGAGAGGUAAUUAAGAUGAGGCUGCUAGGAUGGGCCCUAAUACAAUAUGACUGGUGUACUUCUAAGAAGAGGAAAUUUGGACACAGACACAGACAGAGGGAAGAUCCUGUGAGGACACAGGGAGAAGGUGGCCGCCUAUCGGCCAAGGAGAAAGGCCUCCAACAAACCAGCCCUGAGACACCUUGAGCUCAGACUCCCAGCCUCCAGAACUGUGAGUAGAUACAUUUCUGUUGUUUAAGCAGUCCAUUCUGUUGUACUGUGUUCUGGCAGCCCUAGCAAACUGAUACACCCUCAUGUUACAGGUAAGGAAACUGAGGCACACAGGGGUUAAAUAAUGGGCCCAGUUGCUUCUUGAACUCAAGUAGUCUGAGUAGUAAUUAGUUCCCUCCCUGAGGGCUCUAUAGAUCUGGGGCCGACGUCUGGUUGAGACCCACACCAAACGCCACACAGUAAGAGUUGCUCCCCCAAGCCUAGCAUCAGUCAUAGCUUAUGCUGCAACAAAGACACACAAUUCAGUGGGACAUAAUUUAGGUCCAAGCCAUGUUUUGUUUUGUUUUGUUUUGAGUCGGAGUCUCACUCUGUCGCCCAGGCUGGAGUACGAUGGCAUGAUCUUGGCUCACUGCAACCUCCGCCUCCUGGGUUCAAGCAAUUCUCCUGCCUCAGCCUUUCAAGUAGCUGGGAUUACAGGCGCCUGCCACCAGGCCCGGCUAAUUUUUGUAUUUUUAAUAGAGACGGGGUUUCACCGUAUUGGUCAGGCUGGUCAUGAAAACCUGACCUCGUUAUCUGCCCACCUCAGCCUCCCAAAGUGCUGGGAUUACAAGUGUGAGCCACCAUGCCUGGCCCCAAGCCAAGGUUUUUUGUGGGUUUUUUCUUUCUUUUCUUUUUGAGACAGGGUCUCACUCUGUUGCCCAGGCUGGAGUGCAGUGGCAUGAUCUCAGCUCACUGUAGCCUCGAUCUCCUGGGCUCAAGCAAUCCUCUCACUUCAGCCUCUAGAGUAGCUGGGACUGCAGGCAAGCCACCAUCCCUGGCUAAUUUUUACAUUUUUUGUGGAGUUGGGGUCUUGCCAUCUUGCCCAGGCUGGUCUUGAACUCCUGGGCUCACCCAGCACUGGGAACUCCUGCCUCAGCCUUCCAAAGUGCUGGGAUUACAGGUGUGAGCCACCAUGGCUGGCCUUUUUUUGAGCCAGUAGGCGCUGUGCUGCUCCCAAUCGUGAGUGAGUGAGUCUUGCUCUCAGCCCUUCUCCUCUGCUGCCUUUCCCCCGCACCACCACAGAGCAAGAGCUUCUCAAUCUCCUUGGACUAUGAAGAUGGUUAGCCAAACUCAUCUUCUCUCCCUAUGCGCUUCCUACUUCCAUCCCCUCUGCCCCACUGCAGCGCCUGAGAGGGUUUUCUCUGGCCCUCUUCAGCCUCAUCCCUCCCCUGCCUAAAGCCUUAAGGAUGCAAUAUUUUUUUUUUUUUAAAGACAGAAUCUCGCUUUAUGCCCCAUGCUGGAGUACAGUGGUGCAAUCUCGGCUCACUGCAAACUCCGCCUCCCGGGUUCAAGUGCUUCUUCUGCCUCAGCCUCCCGAGUAGCUGGGAUUACAGGCACCGACCACCAUGCCCACCUAAUUUUUGUAUUUUUAGUAGAGACAGGGUUUCACCAUGUUGGCCAGGCUGGUCUCAAACUCAUGAUAUCAGGUGAUCCACCCACCUCGGCCUCCUAAAGUGCUGGGAUUACAGGCGUGAGCCACCGCGCCUGGCCAAGGUUGCAACUUUUAAAUGCCCAUUGCAGAUGUCAUGACACACACUCUUCGAUACCCCAACACAUGUGGUCAUCCCACAGAGGCACAAUGGACCCCAACAGUUGGCACAGCAAGCAGGGCAUGUGGGCAGUGACCGUGAUGGCAGGGGUCUCUCUUCCCUCGCUUUGGCUUGUGAACUGGCUCUGCUGCCUGCUGGCGACCUGCCCUCUGCGCCUCUGCCCGCUGAUUCGUUUGUGUUUGGAGCUGUGCUGCUUUGUGCUGAUUGGCCAAGUCCUCUGAGCGUCUGUUACAGAUUUUACCAGGGCAAGCUGGAAGUUUCAGUAAUUGGUGUUUAGGGACAGAAGUAUGGGAUUGGAGCCCUCUUUAACGUGGCUCUGGGUCAUGGACCUUGGCAUGGCCCUAUCUGUGUGUCUCACUGAAUUGUGUGGUUCCAGCAUAAGCUAUGGCUGAUGCUGGGCUCAGCGGAGCAACUCUUACUGUGGGGCCUUUGGCUGUGAGUCUCAACCAGACAUUGGACCCGAAUCUGCAGAGCACUCAGGGGAACUAGUAACACCUUGUGCAGUAUUUCCACCCAAUGAUGGUCACUCAUGGGGUGCAGGAGCUGUCACCAUGUGGCCUGCUGAGGUCCACACCCCUAAAAGGUGAUGGCUUUCCAAGUGCCACCUGCUGCUGCUGCUGCUACCUGUGCCUCUCUCACACCAAAGACCCUGAUCCCCAGGGUUAUAAGAAAAAGACAUCCAUGACAUCCCAUGGACAGACUCCUGUGAAAAAGGCCUGAAUGCUUUAUCUCAGCCCCUCCUAAGGGGUUAGAGGAUACCCUGGCCCUAUUGGACAGCUGUAAAAUGGACCAACAAAGAUUCUGGGGUCAGCUGAGUGCCACAACUUAUCAACACGCAACAGGGCUGCUCUGCCCCCGUGAAGUCUGUGUCCCUUAGCCAACAAGGUAACCACUGCCCUGGAGGAGGCGCGCCCUGACCAUGCUAAUGUGAGACCCUCUGAAGGAUGAAGCUUACAAAUAUGGCAAAGAUGGAGGGGACCUGCCUCAAACCACAAACUGGACCAUUCAAUACAGAAGCCGCAAGUGGUUAGUGGCUAUUAAGAACUUGAAAUGUGCCUGAUCCAAACUGAGAUGUGCCAUAAGUAUAAAACCCACAAUGAAUUUCAAAGAACUAGUACUCACAAAAAGUAAUGUAAAAUAGCUCAUUAAUAAAUUUUUUAUGGCUUACAUAUAGAACUGAAAAUUUUUUUGAUAUAUUGAGGGUGAGGCAGAAUAAUGCACCCCAAAGAUGUCCAUGCCCUAAUCCCUAGAACGUGUGAGAAUAUAUUACUGUACAGAGCAAAAUAGAUUUUGCAGCUGUGACUAAGUUUAAGGAUUUUACUAUAGGGAGAUUAUACUGAAUUAUCUAGGUGGGUCCAAUCUAAUCACAUGAGUUCUUAAAAGCAAUGAACCUUUCCCAACUGUAUCGGGGAGAUGCAACCUGAGAAGUACUUGACCUGCCAUUGCUGGCUUCAAAGAUGAAGAAAGAAAACCAGAAGCCAAGAAAUACAGCAGUCUCUGGAAGCUAAGAACAUCCCUCAGCGUACAGCUAGCAAGAAAACAAGGACCUCAGCAAGGUAGUAAAUUCUGCCAACAACCCAAAUGAGCAAGAAAUUGAUUCUCUCCCAGAACCUCCAGAAAAGAACACAGCCUACCACGCCUUGGUUUUAGUCUGAUGAGACCUGUAUCGGACUUCUGACCUAUAGCACCGUAAGAUAACAAAUUACUAAUAAGUUUAUGACAGCAGUAAUAAAAAAACUAUUACACUAGGUUAAUUAUUUAUUCUAAUUUAAUAUUAAUAAAUUAGUAACAAUUAUUAAAACUAAUUUAACCAGUUUCUUUUUACAUUUUUGGUUUUUUUUUUUUUUGAGACAGAGUUUCACUCUUGUUGCCCAGGCUGGAGUACAAUGGCGCGAUCUGGGCUCACCACAACCUCUGCCUCCCAGGUUCAAGUGAUUCUCCUGCCUCAGCCUCCUGAGUAGUUGGGAUUACAGGCAUGCGCCACCACGCCCAGCUAAUUUUGUAUUUUUAGUAGAGACAGGGUUUCUCCAUGUUGGUCAGGCUGGCCUUGAACACCUGACCUCAGGUGAUCCACCCACCUCAGCCUCCCAAAGUGCUGAGAUUACAUGCGUGAGCCACCACACCUGGCCUUUACUUUUUUAAUGUGACUACUAGAAAAUUAAAAGUUACAUACUGUAUAUGACUCACAUUUGUGGUUCACUUUGUUUCUGUUAAACAGUGCUGAUCACACACAGGCACAUCACAUAUUUUUUAACCCAUGACACUACAUUGACUUUGUAUAUAUAGAGAGAGACGAGGUCACUAUGUUGAUAAAGCUGGAGUGCAGUGGCACAACACAGAGAGAGACCUUGAUUAUAGCUUACUAUAGCAUCCAGCUCCUGGGUUCAAGCAAUUCUUCCACCUCAGCCUCCCAAGCAGCUGGGACUACAGGCACCACUGCCUCUGGCUUGACAUAGACUUUUUGAGGACAGCACACUAGUUGUCUUGCAGAAUAUUCCCCCUACUCUGGACUUGUCAGAUUGCUUUAUCAUGGUGUCAUUUAACUUACUCCUCUACCCUGUAUAUUCCCUGUAACCUGGAAGUUCAUUUAAACAGUUUCAUUAGAUAUGGGUUAAACAUUUUUGGCAAGAAUACAAAGGUGGCACUAUGACGUCAUGUUGUAUGUAUCACAUCAGGAAGCUCAUAAUGUUUGGUUGUCUGACUAUAAAUGAUGCAAGUUCGAUUAUUAGUUAAGGUCGUGUUGUGAGUUGAACUGUGUCCCCCCAAAAGAUAAACUGAAUUCCAAACCCCUGGUACCGGUGAAUGUGACUUUAUUUGAAAAUAGUGGUUUUUGCAGAUAUAAUCAAGCUAAGAUGAAAUCAUACUGGAUUAGGGUGGGCCUAAUCCCAUACUGUCCUUACAAGAGAGAAAUUUGGACACCAAGACACAGAGACGUUCAGGGUGGAUGCCAAGUGAUGACAGAGGCAGAGGCUGGUGAUGUGUCUAUAAGGCCAAGAAUGCCAAGCAUCGCUGGCAACCACCAGAAGCCAAGAAAGAGGCAUGGAACUGAUUCUUCUUCAGAGCUCCCAGAAGGAACCAACCCUGCUGACACAAUGAUUCAGACCUCUGGCCUCCAGAACGGAGAGAAUACUUUUCUAUUGUUUUAAUCCUAUUGUUUAUUCUAUUGUUUAAAUUAUUGUAAUAAUUUGCUACAGCAGCCCCAGGAAAUAAGU
rnacentral:lncRNA from 10 species